rnacentral:rRNA from 1 species
AAUGAACGUUGGCGGCGUGGAUUAGGCAUGCAAGUCGAGCGAGAACCCAGCAAUGGGGGACAGCGGCGCAAGGGACAGUAAUGUGUAGAUUAUCUGCCCUCGGGUCCGGGAUAGCUGCGGGAAACUGCAGGUAAUACCGGAUAACAUCUCCGGAUCAAAGGUGUGAUUCCGCCCGAGGAUGAGUCUGCAUCCUAUUAGCUAGUUGGCAGGGUAAUGGCCUACCAAGGCGAUGAUGGGUAGCGGGUGUGAGAGCACGACCCGCGUCAUUGGGACUGAGACACUGCCCAGACACCUACGGGUGGCUGCAGUCGAGAAUCUUCGGCAAUGGGCGCAAGCCUGACCGAGCGACGCCGCGUGUGGGAUGAAGGCCUUCGGGUUGUAAACCACUGUCAGAGGGGAUGAAAUGCAGGUGGGUUCUCCCAUCUGUUUGACAUAGCCUCAGAGGAAGGACGGGCUAAGUUCGUGCCAGCAGCCGCCGUAAGAC